rnacentral:rRNA from 1 species
GACGAACGCUGGCGGCGUGCUUAACACAUGCAAGUCGAGCGGUAAGGCCCUUUCGGGGGUACGACGAGCGGCGAACGGGUGAGUAACACGUGGGUGACCUGCCCUUAGCUCUGGGAUAAGCCUGGGAAACUGGGUCUAAUACCGGAUAUGACUCCAUGACGCAUGUUGUGGGGUGGAAAGCCUUGUGCGGCUAGGGAUGGGCCUGCGGCCUAUCAGCUUGUUGGUGGGGUGAUGGCCUACCAAGGCGACGACGGGUAGCCGGCCUGAGAGGGCGACCGGCCACACUGGGACUGAGACACGGCCCAGACUCCUACGGGAGGCAGCAGUGGGGAAUCUUGCGGCAAUGGGCGAAAGCCUGACGCAGCGACGCCGCGUGGGGA